rnacentral:tRNA from 2 species
GGGCUGUUAGCUCAGUUGGUAGAGCAGUGGACUCUUAAUCCAUCGGUCGCGGGUUCGAAUCCCUCACAGCCCA